ACGGACACGGCCACACCACCCACCAACUGAGAGCUGAGCAGGCGAGCGAGCGGACAUGGCAGCAUCGCUCCAAGCCGCGGCCACCCUGAUGCAGCCGGCCAAGCUCGGCGGCCGGGCCUCCUCCGCCGCGCUGCCAUCGCGCCCGUCUUCGCACGUCGCCAGGGCGUUCGGCGUCGACACCGGUGCCGCCGGCAGGAUCACGUGCUCCCUGCAGUCCGACAUCCGGGAGGUCGCCAACAAGUGCGCCGAUGCCGCCAAGCUCGCCGGCUUCGCCCUCGCCACCUCAGCUCUGCUCGUCUCGGGCGCCAGCGCGGAGGGCGUGCCGAGGAGGCUUACCUUCGACGAGAUUCAGAGUAAGACGUACAUGGAGGUGAAGGGAACCGGCACGGCGAACCAGUGCCCGACGGUGGAGGGCGGCGUCGACUCCUUCGCCUUCAAGGCCGGCAAGUACAACAUGAAGAAGUUCUGCCUGGAGCCGACGUCCUUCACCGUUAAGGCGGAGGGCGUGGCCAAGAACGCGCCACCCGAGUUCCAGAAGACCAAGCUCAUGACCCGCCUGACCUACACCCUCGACGAGAUCGAGGGCCCGCUCGAGGUCAGCUCCGACGGAACCAUCAAGUUCGAGGAGAAGGACGGAAUCGACUACGCCGCCGUCACCGUGCAGCUGCCGGGAGGCGAGCGCGUGCCGUUCCUCUUCACCAUCAAGAAUCUGGUCGCCACCGGCAAGCCGGAGAGCUUCGGCGGGCCCUUCCUCGUGCCCAGCUACCGUGGUUCGUCCUUCCUCGACCCAAAGGGCCGCGGUGGCUCUACCGGCUACGACAACGCUGUGGCGCUCCCCGCCGGAGGCAGAG
rnacentral:misc_RNA from 1 species